AACGCUAGCUACAGGCUUAACACAUGCAAGUCGAGGGGCAUCAGGGUAGCAAUACCGCUGGCGACCGGCGCACGGGUGAGUAACACGUAUCCAACCUACCGUUAACUCGGGGAUAGCCUUUCGAAAGAAAGAUUAAUACCCGAUAGUAUAUUUUCUUCGCAUGUUGAAAAUAUUAAAGAAUUUCGGUUAUCGAUGGGGAUGCGUUCCAUUAGGCAGUUGGCGGGGUAACGGCCCACCAAACCUACGAUGGAUAGGGGUUCUGAGAGGAAGGUCCCCCACAUUGGAACUGAGACACGGUCCAAACUCCUACGGGAGGCAGCAGUGAGGAAUAUUGGUCAAUGGACGCGAGUCUGAACCAGCCAAGUAGCGUGAAGGAUGACUGCCCUAUGGGUUGUAAACUUCUUUUAUAUGGGAAUAAAGUUCUCCACGUGUGGAGUUUUGUAUGUACCAUUAUGAAUAAGCAUCGGCUAACUCCGUGCCAGCAGCCGCGGUAAUACGGAGGAUGCGAGCGUUAUCCGGAUUUAUUGGGUUUAAAGGGAGCGUAGGUGGACUGGUAAGUCAGUUGUGAAAGUUUGCGGCUCAACCGUAAAAUUGCAGUUGAUACUGUCAGUCUUGAGUACAGUAGAGGUGGGCGGAAUUCGUGGAGUAGCGGUGAAAUGCUUAGAUAUCACGAAGAACUCCGAUUG
rnacentral:rRNA from 1 species